rnacentral:rRNA from 1 species
AUUGGAUUGAGAACAACGUACAAACCUUAUCGAUAAACAAUUGGAGGGCAAGUCUGGUGCCAGCAGCCGCGGUAAUUCCAGCUCCAAUAGCGUAUAUUAACGUUGUUGCAGUUAAAAAGCUCGUAGUUGAAAUGAAGGGUAGUUGUGUAAUGAAUACAUUCGUGUAUUUUGUUAUUCAAGUACCCUCCUUCUAAAUUCGAUAUAUGAGUAUUAAUUUACUUGUAUAUGGUUUUAGACCUUUACUGUGAGAAAAUUAGAGUGUUCAAAGCAGGCAUUUGCUUGAAUAUAUUAGCAUGGAAUAAUCAUGUAUGAUUUUCAUGAUGUAUUUGAUUGGUUUGGUUGAUGAGAAUAAGAUUAAAAGGGACAGUUGGGGGUAUUCAUAUUCAAUAGUCAGAGGUGAAAUUCUCGGAUUUAUGGAAGAUGAACAAGUGCGAAAGCA